rnacentral:tRNA from 1 species
AGCAGCGUGGCUCAGUGGAAAGAGCACGGAUUUGGGAAUCAGAGAUCAUGGGUUUGAAUCCCGGCUCUGCCA